rnacentral:tRNA from 1 species
GGGGAUAUAGCUCAGGUUUAGAGCAUUUGACUGCAGAUCAAGAGGCCCCUCAUUCAAAUCCAGGUGUACCCU